rnacentral:rRNA from 1 species
GACAGAGGUGCCGAGCGUUAGGCGGAAUCACUGGGCUUAAAGCGUGUGUAGGCGGAUCGUUAAGUACCUUGUGAAAUCCCACGGCUCAACCGUGGAACUGCUGGGUAUACUGGCGGUCUUGAGCCACCUAGGGGCGAGCGGAACAAGCGGUGGAGCGGUGAAACGCGUAGAUAUCGCUUGGAACGCCAACGGUGAAAACAGCUCGCUGGGGGUGUGCUGACACUGAGACACGAAAGCCAGGGGAGCGAACGGG